GACGAACGCUGGCGGCGUGCCUAAUACAUGCAAGUCGAGCGAAGCGGCGGUAGGGUGAGUAACCCGUGGGAAACCUGCCCCUAAGUUUGGGAUACCAUACGGAAACAGAUGCUAUUACCGGAUAUUAAAGGAUGGACCUGCGAUGCAUUAGCUAGUUGGUAAGGCAACGGGGUACCAAGGCGAUGAUGCAUAGCCGAGUUGAGAGACGUAUCGGCCACAUUGGGACGGAGACACUGCCCAAACUCCUACGGGAGGCAGCAGUAGGGAAGCUUCCAAAAUGGACGAAAGUCUGAUGGAGCAACGCGGCGUGAGUGAAGAAGGGUUUCGGAUCGUAAAGCUCUGUUGUUGGUGAAGCGGUAAUCAACCAGAAAGUCACGGCUAACUACGUGCCAGCAGCCGCGGUAAUAC
rnacentral:rRNA from 1 species